UAAGGAAUAUUGCUCAAUGGGAGAAAUCCUGAAGCAGCAACGCCGCGUGGAGGAUGAAGGGUCUAUGACUUGUAAACUCCUGUAAAGAAGGAAAAAAUUCCCAUUUGCUGGGAGAUGAUGGUACUUCUGGAGUAAGCCCCGGCUAACUACGUGCCAGCAGCCGCGGUAAUACGUAGGGGGCAAGCGUUGUCCGGAUUUACUGGGUGUAAAGGGUGCUCAGGCGGAUUUGUAAGUCAGAGGUGAAAUCUUACAGCUUAACUGUGAAACUGCCUUUGAUACUUUUGUUCUUGAGUUCGGGAGAGAGAGACGGAAUUCCAGGUGUAGUGGUGAAAUACGUAGAGAUCUGGAAGAACACCAGUUGCGAAGGCGGUCUCUUGGUCCGACACUGACGCUGAGGCGCGAAAGCGUGGGGAGCAAACA
rnacentral:rRNA from 1 species